CCACUGUGCUGGAUAUUGGAGUCUGAAUUGCUGCAAACGUGCUAGCCGCUGUCGUCUGGUAUUGCCGUUCGAUCAGACGCCAUUGACGUGGAAGCUGCUCUGGUCGAGUUGUCUGAUUUGAGCGCUGAAUGCACCUAAACGUAACCAUGAUAACGAGAUCAGUAAAUCCUUCGCCAUUUUGCACAUCUGGUAUGCCGUCAAUUGUGUGCCUCACAGACAAGCUGAUAGCCGACGCCGUAUUGGUUGCCUGUGCUGUUGUUGUGUUUGUGUGGGUGCUCGUCGUUGGAGAAAUGCCCAUUGCGCUGCGGUUGGCUGCUGCAGAG